CUGAUCUAUUCUAAUCCCUGCCCAGCCAGCCCAUGGCCUGCCAGGUUUUACUGUGAGCGAAAGCACCAUACAAGCCUCAUCCACGGAGUAAGCAGGUGCUCUUAUCAUGGAGCUUCUCCAGACAC
rnacentral:snoRNA from 1 species